UCGGAUGUGAAUCCCCAGGCUCAACUGGAACUGCAUCCGAUACUGGAUGGCUUGAAUUUGGGAGAGGGAUGCAGAAUUCCAGGUGUAGCGGUGAAAUGCGUAGAUAUCUGGAGGAAUACCGGUGGCGAAGGCGGCAUCCUGGACCAACAUUGACGCUGAGGAGCGAAAGCUAGGGGAGCAAACGGGAUUAGAUACCCCGGUAGUCCUAGCCCUAAACGAUGAAUGCUUGGUGUGACGGGUAUCGAUCCCUGUCGUGCCGAAGCUAACGCAUUAAGCAUUCCGCCUGGGGAGUACGGUCGCAAGGCUGAGACUCAAAGGAAUUGACGGGGGCCCGCACAAGCGGUGGAGCAUGUGGUUCAAUUCGACGCAACGCGAAGAACCUUACCCAGGCUCGAACGGCAUCUGACAUCCGGCGAAAGCCGGCUCCCGCAAGGGCAGGUGUCGAGGUGCUGCAUGGCUGUCGUCAGCUCGUGUCGUGAGAUGUUGGGUUAAGUCCCGCAACGAGCGCAACCCUUGUCCGCUGUUGCCAUCAGGUUAAGCUGGGCACUCUGCGGAGACUGCCGGUGAUAAACCGGAGGAAGGUGGGGAUGACGUCAAGUCAGCAUGGCCUUUAUGUCUGGGGCUACACACGUGCUACAAUGGCAGAUACAAACCGUCGCGAGACCGCAAGGUGGAGCUAAUCGGAGAAAGUCUGUCUCAGUUCGGAUUGCAGGCUGCAACUCGCCUGCAUGAAGUUGGAAUCGCUAGUAAUCGCGGAUCAGCACGCCGCGGUGAAUACGUUCCCGGGCCUUGUACACACCGCCCGUCACAUCACGAAAGCUGGCUGUACUAGUAGUCGGUGAGCUAACCCGCAAGGGGGGCAGCCGCCUAAGGUAUGGUUAGUGAUUGGGGUGAAGUCGUAACAAGGUAACCAAGGG
rnacentral:rRNA from 1 species